UGGGCUUGACAUGUGGGUGACCGCCGUGGAAACACGGCUUCCCUUCGGGGCACCUUCACAGGUGGUGCAUGGCUGUCGUCAGCUCGUGUCGUGAGAUGUUGGGUUAAGUCCCGCAACGAGCGCAACCCUCGUCCCAUGUUGCCAGCGGGUAGUGCCGGGGACUCAUGGGAGACUGCCGGGGUCAACUCGGAGGAAGGUGGGGAUGACGUUACGGUCUUACU
rnacentral:misc_RNA from 1 species